AGAGUUUGAUCCUGGCUCAGGAUGAACGCUAGCGGCAGGCCUAACACAUGCAAGUCGAGGGGUAACAGGAAAGCUUGCUUUUGCUGACGACCGGCGCACGGGUGCGUAACGCGUAUGCAACCUACCUCAUACUGGAGCAUAGCCCUUGGAAACGGGGAUUAAUACUCCAUGGUAUCAUGAAUUCGCAUGUUUUCAUGAUUAAAGAAUUUCGGUAUGAGAUGGGCAUGCGUCCCAUUAGCUAGUUGGUGAGGUAACGGCUCACCAAGGCGACGAUGGGUAGGGGGCCUGAGAGGGUGGUCCCCCACACUGGUACUGAGACACGGACCAGACUCCUACGGGAGGCAGCAGUGAGGAAUAUUGGUCAAUGGAGGCAACUCUGAACCAGCCAUGCCGCGUGAAGGAUGACGGCCCUAUGGGUUGUAAACUUCUUUUAUAUGGGAAGAAACUUAUCUACGUGUAGAUAACUGACGGUACCAUACGAAUAAGGAUCGGCUAACUCCGUGCCAGCAGCCGCGGUAAUACGGAGGAUCCAAGCGUUAUCCGGAUUCAUUGGGUUUAAAGGGUCCGUAGGCGGAUUUUUAAGUCAGUGGUGAAAGCCGACAGCUCAACUGUCGAACUGCCAUUGAUACUGGAAAUCUUGAGUACAAAUGAAGUAGGCGGAAUGAGUCAUGUAGCGGUGAAAUGCAUAGAUAUGACUCAGAACACCGAUUGCGAAGGCAGCUUACUAACAUGUAACUGACGCUGAGGGACGAAAGCGUGGGGAGCGAACAGGAUUAGAUACCCUGGUAGUCCACGCC
rnacentral:rRNA from 1 species